UAGGAUGUAGCUAAAAGAUAAAGCAUCUCCCUUACACCGAGAAGACACUUGUGCAAACCAAGUUAUCCUGA
rnacentral:tRNA from 1 species